rnacentral:rRNA from 1 species
GAUGAACGCUGGCGGCGUGACUAAUACAUGCAAGUCGAGCGAAUGGAUUAAGAGCUUGCUCUUAUGAAGUUAGCGGCGGACGGGUGAGUAACACGUGGGUAACCUGCCCAUAAGACUGGGAUAACUCCGGGAAACCGGGGCUAAUACCGGAUAACAUUUUGAACCGCAUGGUUCGAAAUUGAAAGGCGGCUUCGGCUGUCACUUAUGGAUGGACCCGCGUCGCAUUAGCUAGUUGGUGAGGUAACGGCUCACCAAGGCAACGAGGCGUAGCCGACCUGAGAGGGUGAUCGGCCACACUGGGACGGAGACACGGCCCUGACUCCUACGGGAGGCAGCAGUAGGGAAUCUUCCGCAAUGGACGAAAGUCUGACGGAGCAACGCCGCGUGAGUGAUGAAGGCUUUCGGGUCGUAAAACUCUGUUGUUAGGGAAGAACAAGUGCUAGUUGAAUAAGCUGGCACCUUGACGGUACCUAACCAGAAAGCCACGGCUAACUACGUGCCAGCAGCCGCCGUAA